rnacentral:snRNA from 2 species
GUCUUCUGGUGACAUCCUAUAAAAUGGAACAAUACAGAAAAGAUUAGCAUGGCCUGUUCACAAGGAUGACAAACACAAAUCUUCAAGCCUUCAUGCAUUUGU